rnacentral:rRNA from 1 species
GAUGAACGCUGGCGGCAGGCUUAAUACAUGCAAGUCGAACGGUAAGGCCGAGUGCAGCAAUGCAUGAGGUACACGAGUGGCGCACGGGUGCGUAACGCGUAUGCAACCUGCCCUCUACCGGGACAAAACAGCUGGAAACGGCUGCUAAUAUCCCAUGGUUACGCGACGGGGCAUCCCGUUGAGUAUAAAGAUUUAUUGGUAGGGGAUGGGCAUGCGUAUUAUUAGGUAGUUGGCGGGGUAACGGCCCACCAAGCCGACGAUGAUUAGGGGUUCUGAGAGGAUUAACCCCCACACUGGAACUGAGACACGGUCCAGACUCCUACGGGAGGCAGCAGUAGGGAAUAUUGGGCAAUGGAGGAAACUCUGACCCAGCCAUGCCGCGUGAAGGAAGACGGCCCUAUGGGUUGUAAACUUCUUUUGUCAUAGAGUAAAGUCGCUCACGAGUGGGCGUUUGAGAGUAUAUGACGAAUAAGUAUCGGCUAACUCCGUGCCAGCAGCCGCGGUAAUACGGGGGAUACGAGCGUUAUCCGGAUUUAUUGGGUUUAAAGGGUGCGCAGGCGGAUCGGUAAGUCAGGGGUGAAAAGUUGGGGCUUAACUCCAAUCGUGCCUUUGAUACUGCCGGACUAGAGUGCAAUAGACGUGGCCGGAAUGUGAUGUGUAGCGGUGAAAUGCUUAGAUAUGUCACAGAACACCGAUCGAGAAGUCAGGUCACGAGUUUGCAACUGACGCUCAGGCACGAAAGCGUGGGGAUCAAACAGGAUUAGAUACCCUGGUAGUCCACGCUGUAAACGAUGAUCACUCGUUGUUGGGCAGUGAUGUUCAGCGGCCAAGCGAAAGCGAUAAGUGAUCCACCUGGGGAGUACGAUCGCAAGGUUGAAACUCAAAGGAAUUGACGGGGGCCCGCACAAGCGGAGGAGCAUGUGGUUUAAUUCGAUGAUACGCGAGGAACCUUACCCGGGCUUGAACGUAAGACGGCGGCACAGGAGACUGUGCUUCCCUUCGGGGCGUUUUGCGAGGUGCUGCAUGGUUGUCGUCAGCUCGUGCCGUGAGGUGUUAGGUUAAGUCCUGCAACGAGCGCAACCCCUGCCGCGUGUUACCAGCGAGUGAAGUCGGGGACUCACGCGGGACAGCCCGGGAUAACCGGGAGGAAGGCGGGGAUGACGUCAAGUCAUCAUGCCCCAUAUGGCUUGGGCUACACACGUACUACAAUGGCGCAAACAAAGGGAAGCAAAUCCGCGAGGAGGAGCAAAUCCCCAAAAGGCGUCCCAGUUCAGACUGCAGGCUGCAACCCGCCUGCACGAAGCCGGAAUUGCUAGUAAUCGCAGAUCAGCAUGCUGCGGUGAAUACGUUCCCGGGUCUUGUACACACCGCCCGUCAAACCAUGAAAGUUGAGAACGCCCGAAGUCCAUGUUCUGACCGCAAGGGGGAAGUGGCCGAAGGCGGGUUCAAUGAUUGGGGUUA